GGCAACGACCAUACCAUGCUGAAAAUAUCAGUUCCCGUCCGAUCACUGAAGUCAAGGAGCACCGGGCCCGGUUAGUACUUGGAUGGGUGACCGCCUGGGAACACCGGGUUUCGUUGUCA
rnacentral:rRNA from 1 species